GCCUGGUUAGCUGAUCAGUUGGUAGAGCAUUUGGCUUUUAACCGAAAUGUCCGGGGUUUGAGCCCCCGAUUGGGCG
rnacentral:tRNA from 1 species